AACGAACGCUGGCGGCAUGCCUAACACAUGCAAGUCGAACGAGACCUUCGGGUCUAGUGGCGCACGGGGGCGUAACGGGUGGGAACCUGCCCUUAGGUUCGGAAGAACUCCCCGAAAGGGGUGCGAAAACCGGAGAAAGUCCUCGGACCAAAGAGUUAUCGCCUUUGGAUGGGCCCGCGUUGGAUUAGCUAGUUGGUAGGGUAAAAGCCUACCAAGGCGACGAUCCAUAGCUGGUCUGAGAGGAUGAUCAGCCACACUGGGACUGAGACACGGCCCAGACUCCUACGGGAGGCAGCAGUGGGGAAUAUUGGACAAUGGGCGAAAGCCUGAUCCAGCAAUGCCUCGUGAGUGAUGAAGGCCUUAGGGUUGUAAAGCUCUUUUACCCGGGAUGAUAAUGACAGUACCGGGAGAAUAAGCUCCGGCUAACUCCGUG
rnacentral:rRNA from 1 species